GUUAGUUGCCAUCAUUAAGUUGGGCACUCUAGCGAGACNGCCGGUAAUAAACCGGAGGAAGGUGGGGAUGACGUCAAAUCAUCAUGCCCCUUAUGACCUGGGCUACACACGUGCUACAAUGGUUGGUACAACGAGUCGCAAGCCGGUGACGGCAAGCUAAUCUCUUAAAGCCAAUCUCAGUUCGGAUUGUAGGCUGCAACUCGCCUACAUGAAGUCGGAAUCGCUAGUAAUCGCGGAUCAGCACGCCGCGGUGAAUACGUUCCCGGGCCUUGUACACACCGCCCGUCACACCACGAGAGUUUGUAACACCCGAAGUCGGUGAGGUAACCUAUUAGGAGCCAGCCGCCUAAGGUGGGAUAGAUGAUUGGGGUGANGUCGUAACAAGGUAGCCG
rnacentral:rRNA from 1 species